CAAAGAAAUAUAGUGUAGAGUCAUUUAAACCUUCAAAGAAAGUAACAGUAUUGUUCGUAAGGUUGUUUAGUCUUACCAGUGUUAUAAUUAAUUACUGCGUACUUCGAGGAACAAAGAACAUAACUACGGUAGUUAUAGAAGAACAAGGAACACUCGCGAUCUCCUCUUGAAUGCUCUGGACUUAAUGAGAUAUUAUCUCUAACUUAAAAAUCAACAUCCCAAUGGGGUAAGAUUUUCAAGAAAGGAACAUCUUGAAAUCAUCGGAACCAUUUCAAGGAAUGUUAAAAGUAUUUGAGAGAUGGUUAGUAUUCCUUCCGAAAACAUCAAGUACCUCAAGCAAAAAGUUGUCCUCAAAACCAUGUAAAGAAGAUAAAUGUACAAAACCGAUCUAGUGAUGAACUUGUUGGUAGCAAGUCAGUCCUGUGGAGAUAA
rnacentral:lncRNA from 1 species